UACGUAGGGGGCAAGCGUUGUCCGGAUUUAUUGGGUGUAAAGAGCGUGUAGGCGGCUGGGUAGGUCCGUUGUGAAAACUCGAGGCUCAACCUCGAGACGCCGAUGGAAACCCUCCAGCUAGAGUCCGGAAGAGGAGAGUGGAAUUCCUGGUGUAGCGGUGAAAUGCGCAGAUAUCAGGGAGAACACCCGUGGCUAAGGCGGCUCUCUAGUACGGUACUGACGCUGAGACGCGAAAGCGUGGGGAGCGAACAGG
rnacentral:rRNA from 1 species